UAGAGUUUACAACUCCAAAACCCACUGUGAACGUAUCUUUGUUGCUGUUCCUUUGGCAGGCGGCUCCUGGGAGGAGCCUCGAGCCUAACGGCGUCUGCCAUUGGAGCCGAAAACUCAAGAGUUAAUAGCUGUCUGAGCUUUUAUAAAUAAGAAUCA
rnacentral:misc_RNA from 1 species